rnacentral:misc_RNA from 1 species
AAGGCUUGAAAUGUACGGAAAAGCCAUAGAGAUAUGGUGUCCUUAGGGGCCGUACACAGGUGGUGCAUGGUUGUCGUCAGCUCGUGCCGUGAGGUGUUGGGUUAAGUCCCGCAACGAGCGCAACCCCUAUCUUAUGUUGCCAGCGAGUAAUGUCGGGGACUCAUGAGAGACUGCCGGUGUCAAACCGGAGGAAGGUGGGGAUGACGUAGCUAAGCCUUC